rnacentral:rRNA from 1 species
AGAACGAACGCUGGCGGCAUGCCUAAUACAUGCAAGUCGAACGAACUCUUCGGAGUUAGUGGCGCACGGGUGCGUAACGCGUGGGAAUCUGCCCCUUGGUUCGGAAUAACAGUUGGAAACGACUGCUAAUACCGGAUGAUGACGAAAGUCCAAAGAUUUAUCGCCAAGGGAUGAGCCCGCGUAGGAUUAGCUAGUUGGUGAGGUAAAGGCUACACCAAGGCGACGAUCCUUAGCUAGUCUGAGAGGAUGAUCAGCCACACUGGGACUGAGACACGGCCCAGACUCCUACGGGAGGCAGCAGUAGGGAAUAUUGGAC